UUAACAACAUAAGCAAACUCUAUGUUACAAUGAUUGCACAGCCAUUAAGGAUCAAAUCAGUUUCUGAAAUAUGUUCUGUUUUUUCUCCCUCUGCUUGCUUCUUACUGUCUUUGAGGCUCGGGACCAGCACUCCUGUUGUUGGACAGAAAGACAUCAACUCAGUGACUUGAGAUAUGACUGCACUAUGCUGUUGCUGUGACUCCAGUUAAUUCUACAAGACAUGCUGUGACAACAGGAGAGAUGAGUCCUCCGUCACAGAUGGUGUGGUCAGUGAAGAUGGUCGCCUGCAGGUUCAAGCUCAUUGCAUCUCCAACCCACAUCCACUGCCACUGUACUUAAGGGAAGUUAAAGACUUUCUUCUGCACCUACAUUUGAAUCACCUCGAUCCAUGAUAGUCAUUCAGGCAGUAAUGCCUGGACUGGAAACAAGCCAUCCUUAAAAUAUUACAACAUUCCAGCUCAUGUGUUGGAAUUGAAAACAAAUGUGUUGUUUAAAUUAGAGACUGCACUUGUGACAGAACAACAAAUAUUUUAUUUUGAUUAUAUAAGUAAUGUAAGUACAAAACAAACUUGUGGUAGGCCUAAACUUAUUUUCAGAAUAAUUACAUCUGAGACUUUGUUUCAUUGUAAGAUUAUAACAGUGAUGGCAAUAUAAUUGUUUGUUGUUCAGCAGAACAGUGUCCAGUAUGUUGGCUGUUAUACUUUGUUGUGUUUGAAAAUAAAAGUUGGGCUCAUUUUAACAUCAUUACAAAAAUUGUUGUUAAUUAUUUUUAAUCAUAUUCAGGUUACCACAAAUUGUUUUUUCAUUUAGUUGAACUUGAAAUGUUUGUCAGUAGGUAAACAAUUAGUAUUGUCAGAAAGUCAGAAAUAUCAAGUUAUUCUUAAUACUGCAGACUUGCAAUGUAUAAGUUGUCCUAACAGUCAUCUUAAGUAAGCUUUACUUAGUUUUUUUGAGGCAACGAGUUUCCAUAAUUUUUUUGAGUUCUGGGAACUAACAAGGCUGUACAGUGUACUCAAAAUGAGUAAGUUGUCCUAACUUGGUCAUCUUACGUAAA